UGAGGGAAAGUUGCAAAGAACUUUGAAGAGAGAGUUCAAGAGUACGUGAAACUGCUCAGAGGCAAACAGGUGGGCCCUCGAAAUCCCGUUGCGGGGGGAUUCAGUCGGGAGGCUAGCAUGGCGGAGCGGGCGACCGACGGGAGUUCCGCGGUGCCCUGCACUGCUCGUGCCGCUCGACGCAUUUCCUCCCGCACAGAGGACGCCGCAGCCGGUUGGGAGUCGGCCAUGAGGAUCCGCUACGGCAGGUGGCGGGGGGCUCGUCCAAGCACGCAGUCCUCCGUUGUUAGCCGGUGGGUCCGAGGCGCGACACCCGACCGAGGAGAAGGAGCCCGAGAGGGCUCCAGCCGUGCACUCGCACAAUGCGAGCGGAGCGGUGGGUCAGGAGUCAGGCUUUGGACGGAGCCACUUUCAAACAGUGGUUCGUUGCGAGGUUACCUCCGUUGUGUCCCACGAGACCGCGGCGAGCGCAAAUGGCUGGCGGCGAGUAGGUCGGUCACCCACCUGACCCGUCUUGAAACACGGACCAAGGAGUCUAACAUGUGCGCGAGUCACGGGGUCUUGAAUAGGCCCAGGGGCGCAAUGAAAGUGAGACCGCCGACCUCCCUCCGGGGUAGGACGGCGGACAAGUCGGGAUCCCCGGUUUCGGCCGGGGCGCACCGACGGCCCGCGUCGUUCCGAUUUAUCGGUGGCGUGGAGUCCGAGCGUACACGUUGGGACCCGAAAGAUGGUGAACUAUGCCCGGGCAGGACGAAGCCAGAGGAAACUCUGGUGGAGGUCCGCAGCGGUUCUGACGUGCAAUCGAUCGUCAGACCUGGG
rnacentral:rRNA from 1 species